rnacentral:tRNA from 1 species
GGGGGCGUAGCUCAGAUGGUAGAGCAACGGCCUUUUAAGCCGUGGGUCGAAGGUUCGAAUCCUUUCGCCCUCA